rnacentral:lncRNA from 1 species
CGCUUCUUUUGCCAUUUUCUCAUGCUGUCAUUGGCAAUUUUGAUAUUCCAGAAAUUGUCAAGUAAAUUCUUCUGCCUAUCUGUCAGUAAAGCUCUUGUGCGAUAUUUUAGUACUGGAUUCACAAUCUCUUGCACUGCUAUUCCUUUACAAAAAUGAAUAGGUACUGGUGGUCUUGCUGGUCUAAUUAUGCUUAGUGGCAUCCCCCUUGGGAAUGGUGUACCACUUUUCUUGCUUCUUGAUGCUGAGGGUCCAAAAUAUUCCAUACUUGUCAUU